rnacentral:rRNA from 1 species
GGGGGAUAUUGCACAAUGGAGGAAACUCUGAUGCAGCAACGCCGCGUGAGGGAAGAAGGUCUUCGGAUUGUAAACCUUUGUCCUUGGUGACGAAACAAAUGACGGUAGCCAAGGAGGAAGCUCCGGCUAACUACGUGCCAGCAGCCGCGGUAAUACGUAGGGAGCAAGCGUUGUCCGGAUUUACUGGGUGUAAAGGGUGCGUAGGCGGCUCUGCAAGUCAGGCGUGAAAACUAUGGGCUUAACCCAUAGACUGCGUUUGAAACUGUGGGGCUUGAGUGAAGUAGAGGUAGGCGGAAUUCCCGGUGUAGCGGUGAAAUGCGUAGAGAUCGGGAGGAACACCAGUGGCGAAGGCGGCCUACUGGGCUUUAACUGACGUUGAGGCUCGAAAGUGUGGGUAGCAAAC